AUCUUCAGAGACAGCAGAAUAGUGGCAGAAUGAGCCCAAUGGGGACAGCUAGUGGUUCCAACAGUCCUACCUCAGACUCUGCGUCUGUACAAAGAGCAGAUGCUACUUUAAACAACUGUGAAGGUGCUGCUGGCAGCACAUCUGAAAAAUCAAGAAAUGUGCCUGUGGCUGCCUUGCCUGUAACUCAACAAAUGACAGAAAUGAGCAUUUCAAGAGAGGACAAAAUAACCUCCCCGAAAACAGAGGUGUCAGAGCCAGUUGUCACUCAGCCCAGUCCAUCAGUUUCUCAGCCCAGUUCUUCUCAAAGUGAAGAAAAAGCUCCUGAGUUGCCCAAACCAAAGAAGAACAGAUGUUUUAUGUGUAGAAAGAAAGUUGGCCUUACAGGUAUUAACACAUAAUUCAUAUCUUAAAAGAGUCACUCUAAAAAGAACUAUUGAUUUUAUACAUCAAAAAAAUAAAUAUUCUAAGAUUUUUCAGAAAGGGUGGGCUAAUGGGUUAAGAAGAUGGACGUAAUUUCCAUCCACUUAAGUGUUGGCCUAGUUGUGUAAUUAUCAUUAACCUUGGGCCUUCUGAAUUAUUUUUCUUAUUUGGACUUUUCCUUUUGAUUCCUUCCUUUGAUACUUAGAGAAUAGAUAGCUGAGUUAACAGUAGUGAACACCUACUUGGAACCAGGAAUUAGAUGCUUUAGGUAUUUACCCAGAAUUUUAUAGUUGGUCAUGAAGUUUUUGGCUCGAUGUUCCUGUA
rnacentral:lncRNA from 1 species